ACGGGACCGCACAAGCGGUGGAUGAUGUGGAUUAAUUCGAUGCAACGCGAAAACCUUACCUACCCUUGACAUGUCCGGAAUCCCGAAGAGAUUUGGGAGUGCUCGCAAGAGAGCCGGAACACAGGUGCUGCAUGGCUGUCGUCAGCUCGUGUCGUGAGAUGUUGGGUUAAGUCCCGCAACGAGCGCAACCCUUGUCAUUAGUUGCCAUCAUUUGGUUGGGCACUCUAAUGAGACUGCCGGUGACAAACCGGAGGAAGGUGGGGAUGACGUCAAGUCCUCAUGGCCCUUAUAGGUGGGGCUACACACGUCAUACAAUGGCCGGUACAGAGGGUAGCCAACCCGCGAGGGGGAGCCAAUCCCACAAAGCCGGUCGUAGUCCGGAUCGCAGUCUGCAACUCGACUGCGUGAAGUCGGAAUCGCUAGUAAUCGCGGAUCAGCAUGUCGCGGUGAAUACGUUCCCGGGUCUU
rnacentral:rRNA from 1 species